rnacentral:rRNA from 1 species
GCGGCAAGGUCUUCGGACCCUAGAGCGGCGCACGGGUGAGUAACGCGUACCAAUCUGCCCUUCAGUGAGGAAUAGCCCUGGGAAACUGGGAUUAAUACCUCAUAACAUUGUUUGAUCGCAUGGUUAGACAAUUAAAGUUCUGGCGCUGAAGGAUGAGCGUGCGUCUGAUUAGCUAGUUGGUAGGGUAACGGCCUACCAAGGCUACGAUCAGUAGGGGGCGUGAGAGCGUGACCCCCCACACGGGUACUGAGACACGGACCCGACUCCUACGGGAGGCAGCAGUAAGGAAUAUUGGGCAAUGGAGGCAACUCUGACCCAGCCAUCCCGCGUGAAGGAUUAAGGCCUAUGGGUUGUAAAC